CUAUGCGCCUUGCCAGCCCGCUCAGAAACUUAAAUGAAUUGACGGGGGCCCGGCACAAGCGGUGGAGCAUGUGGUUAAUUCGACGCAACGCGAAGAACCUUACCUGGAUUUGACAUCCCGGGGAUCUUUCUGAAAGGAUUGAGUGCCCUUCGGGGAGCCCGGUGACAGGUGCUGCAUGGCUGUCGUCAGCUCGUGUCGUGAGAUGUUGGGUUAAGUCCCGCAACGAGCGCAACCCUUAUCUUUAGUUACCAUCAUUAAGUUGGGGACUCUAAAGAUACUGCCCCGGUUAACGGGGAGGAAGGUGGGGAUGACGUCAAGUCCUCAUGGCCUUUAUGUCCAGGGCUACACACGUGCUACAAUGGGUUGUACAAAGGGUUGCGAACUCGCGAGAGUAAGCCAAUCCCAAAAAGCAACUCUUAGUUCGGAUUGGAGUCUGCAACUCGACUCCAUGAAGCUGGAAUCGCUAGUAAUCGUGGAUCAGCAUGCCACGGUGAAUACGUUCCCGGGCCUU
rnacentral:rRNA from 1 species